rnacentral:rRNA from 1 species
AUGCAAUCAUCCCAUACACACACAUCACAUGCAUACGGUCCACGGGUGGUCGCCUCGGCGUUAUACCUUUGCAGCGUGCAUUUUCGUGGCGGUUCGAGUCGGUGCGAAGUAGAGGAAGUAGACGUUCUCGGAACGGUCGUAGGGGAAGUAGUGGUACUAUUGGUCCUCAGUGACGGUAGUGGAAGUAGUGGUCCACGAGUCGAAGAGGAAGUAGUCGUUCAUGUUCGGGAAGCGGUAGAGGUACGGGUCUUCGACAACGGUCGUCGUACACGCUCCAAUGUCGUCGGUAGAGGUUCUCGCGACCUUGGCGACGGUAGUGGUACAUGUUUUUUCGUGGAUGUUCGAGUCAUCGGUAGCGGUACUUGGUGA